rnacentral:hammerhead_ribozyme from 1 species
GCACUGCUGAGGAGUCCCAUAAUAGGAUGGAACGAUUGUCCAGUGU